rnacentral:rRNA from 1 species
GGAGUUAGCCGGUGCUUCUUCUGCGAGUAACGUCACAGAUGUAAGGUAUUAACUUACACCCUUUCCUCCUCGCUGAAAGUGCUUUACAACCCGAAGGCCUUCUUCACACACGCGGCAUGGCUGCAUCAGGGUUUCCCCCAUUGUGCAAUAUUCCCCACUGCUGCCUCCCGUAGGAGUCUGGGCCGUGUCUCAGUCCCAGUGUGGCUGAUCAUCCUCUCAGACCAGCUAGGGAUCGUCGCCUAGGUGAGCCUUUACCUCACCUACUAGCUAAUCCCACCUGGGCUUAUCCAUCAGCGCAAGGCCCGAAGGUCCCCUGCUUUCCCCCGUAGGGCGUAUGCGGUAUUAGCAGUCGUUUCCAACUGUUAUCCCCCACAAUGGGCAAAUUCCCAGGCAUUACUCACCCGUCCGCCGCUCGUCAUCUCAACGACAGCUUAGUAAUAGUUACCGUCUCGUACUUACGUCAUGUGUUAGGUCCGUCGCCGCCGACGCGUUACUACUACUGAGCCGACGAACGUACGAACCCGUACGA